rnacentral:rRNA from 1 species
CCCUUAGACGUUCUGGGCCGCACGCGCGCUACACUGACCAGUGCAACAAGCAUCCGUCCUUGGCCGACAGGCCCGGGCAAUCUUUGAACGCUGGUCGUGAUGGGGAUAGACUUUUGCAAUUUUUGGUCUUCAACGAGGAAUUCCUAGUAAACGCAAGUCAUCAACUUGCAUUGAUUACGUCCCUGCCCUUUGUACACACCGCCCGUCGCACCUACCGAUUGAAUGGUCCGGUGAAGCCUCGGGAUUGCGAAUGCUUCGUGCGGACGCGAGAACUUGGCUAAACCUUACCAUUUAGAGGAAGGUGAAGUCGUAACA